rnacentral:RNase_P_RNA from 1 species
AAGGUUUUAGGGCUAAUCGCUUCUGAAAGGAAGAGGAAAGUCUGGACUUCAUAGAGCAGGGAGGCAGUUAAUUGCUGCUGGGAGUAAUCCUAAGGAAAGUGCCACAGAGAAUAUACCGCCAUUUAUGGUAAGGGUGAAAAGGUGGUGUAAGAGACCACCAGUGACCUAAGAAAUUUGGUCAGCUAGGUAAACCCCUCUUGAAGCAAAAAUAAAUAGAAAGCCUUAAGAAGUUGCUCGCUUUGGCUUUAGGGUAAUUUGCUUGAGCUAAUAAUUAAUUAUUAGCCUAGAUAAAUGAUUAGCAAAAACAAAAUCCGGCUUAUACUAAAGCCUUUAUA